rnacentral:rRNA from 1 species
CCACAGCCCGAAAGGGUGAGGUGGUCGAAAUGCCCGCGGAUCCGAUCCGCGAACCGAAUUGCUAGUCCGCCUCCGGGCGGGCGACACGCUCAAACUGCGGGAAAACCCUAAAGCUCCAGCACACCAAGCCGGCGUCGAAAGGCAGCCGGUGGCCAGGUUAAUUGCCUCGGGUAUGGUCAAAGCGGCUGGAGAUGAACAAUGGGCGAUCCGCAUCCAAGCUCCUAACCCUCGCGAGAGGCACGGAGAAGGUUCAGAGACUAAAUGGGUGUGGGUCUCCUCUCGCGAGAGAGGGGGUCUAAGAUAUAGUCCGGCCACCGCUGAAAGGCGGUGGGGUCAGGCACUCCUUGACAUACAAACGGGAGCCUGCGGCUUAAUUUGACUCAACACGGGGAAACUCACCAGGUUAACAGUAGGUUACGACUACGUCUGGGCCUGGAAUAGCGAACUGAGUAUCAUUCGCUAGUGUCAGAUUUAUAUCCGCGUGGGGAAGUCCCCAUUUUCGGGCGCGGAGCGGUGCAAACCGUCGAUCUGAUGCGACACCAGCUGGUACAGGGGACGCCGACCCGCGCAUCUCGCGCGGAGGCCAAUCCUGUGGCGAGCUCGAGUAACGUCGAGCCGUCGCAACGCACGCUAAGCGGUGGGUCAGUCCUUCGACUGGCUUAAGGUACGUGCUAAUCCCAUGGGACAACCAUGCCUCCUAGAAUAGGCCCGAAUGCCGAAGCUUCGAGGGUGGAGACGACCUCGCGUCGUCUCCUGGCGUAAACAGUGCCAGACACAGUGAGGAUUGACAGAUUGAGAGCUCUUUCUUGAUUUUGUGGGUGGUGGUGCAUGGCCGUUCUUAGUUGGUGGAGUGAUUUGUCUGCUUAAUUGCGAUAACGAACGAGACCUUAACCUGCUAAAUAGCCAGGCCAGCUUUGGCUGGUCGCCGGCUUCUUAGAGGGACUAUCGGCUCAAGCCGAUGGAAGUUU